rnacentral:rRNA from 1 species
UGAGUUUGACUCUGGCUCAGAGUGAACGCUAGCGACAUGCCUAACACAUGCAAGUUGAACGUAAUCAUUAAGAUUAAGUAGCGUACGGGUGCGAAAAAUUUGUUUUGAUAUUAAUGAAAUCUAUUACACAUUCAGUAAAAAUAGGUUUGCUGUUAGCGCAGGCAAAAUUUUGCCUGCGCUAACAGCUAGAUUUAUCGCGUUAAGGAAAAACAUAUUGGGAUCAGGUUCUUGGUUAUAAAUUUCCAAGCCUACGACCCCUAGCUGGUCCGAGAGGAGGAUUAGCCACACUAGAACUGAAAACGGUCUAGACUUCGCUUGAAGGCAGCAGUGAGGAAUAUUGGACAAUGGGCGCAAGCUUGAUCCAGCAAUGUCGCGUGGGUGAAGAAGGCCUUAGGUUGUAAAGCCCUUUCGUUAAAUAAAAAUUUUUGAUUUAUUUAAAAAAGAAGUCCCGGCUAACUUCGUGCCAGCAGCUGCGGUAAAACGGGGGGGGCAAGCGUUAUUCGUCGUGACUGGGCGUAAAGGGUCUGUAGGCGGUUUACUUAUAUGCAAAAACAUUUCGUAAUUUAUUACAUUUUUUUGCUAUUACAGGGUAUUACUAGAGUAUAAAUCAGAAUUUUGGUAUUCUCGAUGGAGGGGUGAAAUCCGUAGAUAUCGAAGGGGACUACCAAUGGCGAAGGCAAAAAUUUAUUUUAUACUGACGCUGAGGGACGAAAGCAUGGGUAUCAAACGGGAUUAGAGACCCCGGUAGUCCAUGCCCUAAACUAUGGAUUUUAAACUUAUUUCUUCAAGUUUUAGUGAAAACGUUAAAAAUCCCGCCUGAGUAGUAUGAUCGCAAGAUCGAAAUUCAAAGAGAUUGACGGAGAUUCGUACAAGCGGUGGAGCAUGUGGUUUAAUUCGAUGUAACACGCAAAAUCUUACCAAUUUUGAACUACGAAAGCGUUUGCUUUUAAUUUUGCAUUCAAAAUUUAUAAUUUUUAUAUUUUUUGGCUUUCGAUAGGUGCUGCAUGGCUGUCGUCAGCUCGUGCCUUAAGGCGUUCGGUUAAUUCCGGUAACGAGCGUAACCCUAGUCAGCAUUUUAUAAAUGCUGGUGUUUUAAGGUUAACUUAAACUAAUUAGGACCACGUCAAGUCAGUAUGGCCCUUAUGAAUUGGGCUACACACGUGCUACAAUGGUAAUCACAAUUUUGAGACAAAAUUGCAAAAUUUAGUUAAUCCAAAAAAAUUACCUCAGUUCAGAUUGAGUUCUUAAAAUUCGAACUCAUAAAGGCGGAAUCGCUAGUAAUCGCAAAUUAUCAUGUUGCGGUGAAUAUGUCAACGAGUCUUGUACACACCGCCCGUCACGCCAUGGGAGUUGGUUUGGUCUGUAGUUUUAUAGAUUUAUUUUUAUCAUAUGUCAAUUUAUUGAUCUAGUAAAAUUU